ensembl:lncRNA
CUCUCCCUCCCACUCUCCCCAGGCUAUUGCUGUUUAUGAACCGAGCUUUUGUUUAAUUGGUUACAGCAAACAGGGAAAUAAAUAACACCAAUACUCAGUCUGUCUCUAGUGACUCCCAGAUGGCCAUGGUGAGCAAGCUUUACUCUACAAGCAGCCCUCAGGAAAAGUUUGUAAGCCUGCUAUGAGGGAAAAAGCACACAGACUUCCAGCUCCACUACAGAGGACUGCAUUUCUGCUGUACUUUAGUAAGGGGAAUGAGAGUUGCACAAGACAAUGCUCAUUAAUCAGAAUGAGAGGAAGGUGUUUGUGCCCCUGAUGAAGACCAGCAGUGCUAGCCCUGUGAGGUAAAGCCAUGAGAAUCCAAAAGCCUUCUUCAAGACGUCAGCAGAUGGCCACCUGGUAGAAGGACAUUUAGUGUUAUGCCUCACCUCCAAACUCACUGAUGAAUUGAUGCCUUACACACCUUCUUCUAGCCUUCCAAAGAACCAUUCAUCACGGGAGGCAGGACAGCAGGCAACCUGGCUAAGUGGCACAAUAAGCAAAUCCUGUCUCUUGAGAGGUGUAUUCUGCACAGCUUCCAGCACACAUGCAGGUCUCCAUCUGCAGCCGUGCUGAGCCAGCCCUCCCCUGGAUGGGUGUGGGGAAGGAAGCUUUGGCUGCAUUUUUCCCCCUGAGGCUGAUAUGAUAUAUUAGGUGGAGGUGACACAUGGGUCAAGUGAGCACCUGUUCUCCCAAGGCCUCAGGGAGCCUUACUAACAUGGGAAGAAUUUAUUUUAACAGCUAGAAUCUGGGGGAGAUUAUCACUACACAUUCUCUCCCUGGGAGUUGUAAACUGCUGGAAUUCACGUCUGCCCUUUGGGAUGCUGAACAGAAGAGAGGAAAGGUCUCUCUACAAGGGCAGGAGGAAGGGCUUUGGCUCUAUAAAGCCAGGCUCUGUGUUAGCUUUCAGUGUGGAUUACAGAAGUUGAUGGAUAUUCUUGGUAUGUUAAGGGUGACAACGAAAACUCUCCACCAAGAAAGCUGGAGUACAGAGCUGAGACCAUUUUGUGUAAUCCAUAGGAUUUGUCAUUUUGUUAAGACAAGGGAUAACUUCCAUUUAAUAAUCGCUCGGAAAGAAGCAGGUAAUGCCUCAUGUCACUGUUCAAGGAGCAUUUGGAUAAUGCCCUCAAUAAUACACUUCAGGUUCUGUUUAGCCCUGAAGCGGCCAGACAGCUGGACAAGAUGAUUUCUGAACGUCCCUUCCAACUCAACUAUUCUACACAAGAAUUGAAGAUCCCUUCUAAUUUUGCAGCACCUGCAUAAAGUUAAUUGUUGUCCUUGCUCAUCUUCCAAUGUCUGGACAUGCAGUGCAGAGACCCAAGCUGGUGUUUGCACCUUUUCAAGGGUGACCUCUAGGCUCAAGUAGUGAUGGAGACAAGAGAGGAAGUAAGUUUUGGACAUCAUUUUGGGGUAGGAAGAUAAACUAGCAUUUGGUCACACAAAAACACAUUGAACAAUUUGAAUGUCUGAACUGCUUUCUAGGAAAAGGGAACAGGGAAGAGACAAACAGUCAGGAUGGGGGGAAUCAGCAUAUUUCCCCACUUGUCUUUAAAAUGUUGCUUUUAGCUGUGGCUUGAAAUGACUCUUCUAAUGUUUCCUUUAAUAUCUUUGUCUUACUCAGACUAGUUUUAGUAGUCAAAAAAGCUACUCUUUCUCUGGCCCCAAAUGAAAGUCAUUUUGUUGAUCUGGUUUCCAUUUAACUAAAAAAAUAAAAAAAUUAAAAAAGUGGGUUAUUCGCCAGCCCUUGGAAUUGCUGCUCUCCUCUCAUUCCUACUUCUGGCACUAUUGGCAUCAAUUCAGCAGAUGAACAGAGGAUUUCAAUCUUCUAAAGCUGCCAAUCCUGCACCUUUCAAAAACACCAACUGCACUUUCUAUGAUAGCAAUGAAUCCCUGAGCUGGUGACGGCAGAGCCCACAGCCUGUGCCAGAAGCAGAAUCCAGGGUGAGAAGCCUGAGCAGCUCUGUGGAAAUCAGUCAUGUCCACCUUGUUUUCCACUGGGAUCAGCGGAACUCAUCCCAGCCUCUCCUGAUCCCUAGAUGUAAGCACAGGCUGUGUCAUUUGGCCCAAGGACUUUGCUCAUCAGGAGCCUGGCUCAUUCAACUGUUGGAGAGCGCUUGGAGCAGCGUUCCCUCCUCUGUGUAGUGAGACAAAGGCAGGGAGAGUGGGAGCGAUGUUUCUCAAUACAACUUCUGCCAAGCAAACUUCUGCCUUUCCUGCCAAAUGUGCCCACCUCGAAGGAAUAACACCCUUACACCACCUGCGGCUGCUGUUUCUGCAGCAGAGUGCCACUUGCUUGGACAUGGCUGGUUUCCACCAUGGAAAAUAAAUAGAAGUCGCUCCCAGUGGCAGAGAUUCCUCUGGGAAGAGGCACUGCACAGAGACAAGAUGACUGGAUCACUCAGACUCCUUCACCAGCAGCAAUCUGUCCUCCUCUCCCCUGCAGUCCCAGUGGGUCUGGAUAAGUCCCUGCACACCCGAAAACCUUUAUUUGAGGCCAUAUUAACAACACCUCCCCCCAGCUUCUGUGCAGCUGUCCCAUUGAUGCCAAGAAGGGAUAGCCAUGGUAAUUAAAAGGUAGCAAAGCUCCUCGUCUACAUGAACAGGGGACGAGUCAAUACAGUUCAAUCUGCUGCUGAAUUGACUGCAAUCAAUUUCUCUUUCUGCCCAUCCAAGGCUGCUGCUGUAAAGCACUCACAGUCUGAUCAAUGGUGACCUUGAGAGCAAUGAAGAGAGACAAAGCCACACUGCAAACUGAAGGAGGGACAGAGUGAGCCUUGGGAGCAAGUAGACAUUAAAGGAAAGGUAGAGCAUAGCCUUCUUCUAGAGCAAAGCAGAGGCACGCUGCAGUUGCAUGGCAUCAGCCAGGGAAGCAUCCUACACAUAGGAAUGCAUUCUUCCACCAGCCCUCCAGAAAGAGCAAUGUGAUCACCCCACUAACAGUCUGCAUCAUGAGAAAGAGGGCUUAACCACAGGGUGAGAUGGUUCUCACCCAAAAUACAUUAGAAAUGAUACUGAUAUAUCACCACUCCUUAUUUCUCAUCUCCAUGCUGCAGGAAUGGAACACUCAAAGACAGCGCCAGGCAUCCGAGGCAGCCCAGCAUCUACACUUCGCUUUAGGAUGAGUCUGCCCAUCUCAGGCAGCUCCUGCAGAGAUGUCCAAAGAAAUAAAAUAAGAUUGUGUCUUAGCACUUUCUCUCACACUCCCGACCAGCUCCAUCCCAACCCAAUCACUGAUCUGCAAAGCAAAAUGCUCAGCGCAGAAAGAACAGUAAACAGGCACAAAAGCUGUCCUUUUCAAGAGAGGGUAAAAUUACAAAGAACGGAACGAGGGUUCUUCGGGAAUAACACCAUUGUUGUUCCUAAUUGUGUGCGUGUGUUGUGUGCGCAUGUGGCAUAGCAAAAUAAAAACGAUGUUUAUAGAGAGCUGCCUGCUUCUUUGCUGAUGGACUGGAGGCGCUGAUCCGACAAUUAAAGCAUCGUCUCAGUAAUAGCCAUAAAUAAACAGGCAGCAUUAGAACAGACUUGCAAUAAAGAUGAUAUUAAAAGCAGAACAAAAUGAGAAGCAGCGCUGAAUGGGAAGGGGUGAAGUGUAAGUCACGUUGAUUUGUUCUUUCUUGCAGAUAAGGAAACAAUGAGAUGUCCUUACUGUGGACCCCCAGCACUCAGCAAAGCUGUUAUAAAAAAAAAGUGAAGGACAAGUCUCUAACAAGGGGUGAUGAGCUUGUAAAUAGCUUUUAAUCAGAAAGAGGGGGAAAGAAAGGGAGUAAAGAGCUGGUUAGAAGUCUUCUAUGCAAACUUGUGUAGGAAAAUAUUGAUCUGUCAAAAUCUUGGGUUCUUGCAGGCCAGGGUCAGCUCCAACCCAUCUUCCGUAAUUCAUAGAAGUUCUGAAUUGCCAGAAACGUGACACUGUCAGAAUGUCAAGUUCCCAGUUUCAAGCUGGGAUAGCUUUUCAUAUAGAAAUUGUAUAUAGCUACAAUAAGAGGAAAAAAGAUUUAAGAAAGAAAAACCAACAUAGAAACAAUACCUCGAUUACCAGCACAAAAUGCCAGCUGACCUAACACAGCUAACCAUCCACUCCCCACAAGUUACUGACCUAGGAACACUUCUGAAGUUCAAAGCCUUCUUUGUCCUUUGGAGAGAAGUUCUGACACUCCAAAAGCUCCCAAGUAGGAGAGCAGAGCAGCAUCCUCUGCUGUGAUGGAUGUGCUGCAGCAUGGACUUAUCCAUACCAAUUCCAUUAGCAGGACAUUGUCUGUCACUCAUGUGCAGCAUCAGGAUUCUCCAGCAAACACCAUCACUGCCAGCAGCUUUAGUCUGGUAGUCCCUAUGGACAGCACAUUGCACUUGCUCCAGGCCCUAUCUAUAGUACCAUCUUUAAACCCAAUGUGCCAGCAUAGAGACUUUAAAUGCCUUUGUAAAUAGCCUUUCCAGCUGAGUGUAAUUACCUUAAUUAAAACCCCACCUCAUCCUUCUGACUGGAAUGGUACAUACAAUUGCUGUGUUUAUCUUAAUGAUCUCAUUAGCAGCAGGAUCAGAAAGUCCUACAGCACCUCUGCUGAUGGGCUGAGACCUGGAUGAGUAUCAGGUGAGAAGUCACACCUCUGCCUCUGGGGAGGAGUAUGUGGGCUGAGGUUUUGGGCUGGAUGGGUGGAAGAGGUGUCUUUAUCUUCUGUUUUAUGCAAGCCUUGCUAAUUUCUGGCUCCCCUGUUCUUUCAUGGCAUUGG